rnacentral:tRNA from 1 species
AAUCUAAUAUUCAAGUAUGAAAUUAAAUUGCAAAUUUAAUAGUGAGCUAAGCUCUUAGAUUU